GUUCAUGUAGCUUAACAUUUAAAGCAAAGCACUGAAAAUGCUUAGAUGAGCCCCAAGGGCUCCAUAAACA
rnacentral:tRNA from 1 species